rnacentral:rRNA from 1 species
AGAGUUUGAUCCUGGCUCAGAUUGAACGCUGGCGGUAUGCUUAACACAUGCAAGUCGAACGGUAACAGCAGAGCUUGCUCUGGCUGACGAGUGGCGGACGGGUGAGUAAUACGUAGGAAUCUGCCCAGUAGUUGGGGAUAACUCGAGGAAACUCGAGCUAAUACCGAAUACGCCCUACGGGGGAAAGGAGGGGAUCUUCGGACCUGCCACUAUUGGAUGAGCCUACGUCAGAUUAGCUUGUUGGUAGGGUAAUGGCCUACCAAGGCAACGAUCUGUAGCUGGUCUGAGAGGACGACCAGCCACACUGGGACUGAGACACGGCCCAGACUCCUACGGGAGGCAGCAGUGGGGAAUAUUGCACAAUGGGCGAAAGCCUGAUGCAGCAAUACCGCGUGUGUGAAGAAGGCCUGCGGGUUGUAAAGCACUUUCAAUUGGGAAGAAAAAGGACGGUACCUCAGGAAUAAGUCUCGGCUAACUACGUGCCAGCAGCCGCGGUAACACGUAGGAGGCAAGCGUUAUCCGGAUUUACUGGGCGUAAAGCGCGUGUAGGCGGUUUGGCAAGUCGGAUGUGAAAGCUCCCGGCUCAACUGGGAGAGGUCGUCCAAAACUGCUAGACUAGAGGACGGUAGAGGAAGGUGGAAUUCAAGGUGUAGCGGUGGAAUGCGUAGAUAUCUUGAAGAACACCGGUGGCGAAGGCGAUCUUCUGGCCCGAUACUGACGCUGAGACGCGAAAGCGUGGGGAGCGAACAGGAUUAGAUACCCUGGUAGUCCACGCCCUAAACGAUGUUCACUAGUUGCUGGGAGAUUCGACCCUUUCAGUGACGCAGCUAACGCAUUAAGUGAACCGCCUGGGGAGUACGAUCGCAAGGUUGAAACUCAAAGGAAUUGACGGGGGCCCGCACAAGCGGUGGAGCAUGUGGUUUAAUUCGAUGAUACGCGAGGAACCUUACCUGGGCUCAAAUGUAAGUUGACAGGUCCUGAAAGGGAUUUUUCUUCGGACAAUUUACAAGGUGCUGCAUGGUUGUCGUCAGCUCGUGCCGUGAGGUGUCGGGUUAAGUCCCAUAACGAGCGCAACCCCUACUCUUAGUUGCCAGCAUGUAAUGAUGGGGACUCUAGGAGAACUGCCUACGCAAGUAGAGAGGAAGGUGGGGAUGACGUCAAAUCAGCACGGCCCUUACGUCCAGGGCUACACACGUGCUACAAUGGCCGGUACAGAGGGCAGCCACCUGGUGACAGGGAGCGAAUCUCUAAAGCCGGUCUCAGUUCGGAUCGAAGUCUGCAACCCGACUUCGUGAAGCUGGAAUCGCUAGUAAUCGCGCAUCAGCCAUGGCGCGGUGAAUACGUUCCCGGGCCUUGUACACACCGCCCGUCAAGCCAUGGAAGCUGGGGGUACCUGAAGUCAGUGACCAUUUAGGAGCUGCCUAGGGUAAAACUAGUGACUGGGGCUAAGUCGUAACAAGGUAACC